AUGUUCCUCGGAGCCCAUUAAGGAGUGCUUUAAUCCAAGAGGAUCUAGAUGAUCAAGAAAAAUUAAGCUCCUAAUAACAGCAAAAUCGUAAGAAAUUUGGACAAAAUGACUCUCCGCAUCACAGAUUUUGUUUACUAGUGGGUAAUUAAUUCUCCACAUAUGUUGGGAACAUCUGUCGCCGUGACCUGCCAUCGGAUCUGCGAAAUGACUGCUGUGCGGUUUCCCGGCAGGUCAUUAGCAGCGCUCUGAAAGGAAGCUCCUUCCUCCUGCCCUCAGCCCGGGCAACUUUCUCUUUAGCUGGGAGUGUCUCCAUAUUUGGAAUCCAGUCACUCUUCACCAACUCCAGGGCUCCCCUCUUCUCAUCCUGGAUUGUGAGAGGCUUCUGGUUGGUUCCCCUCCAUGAUUCUCCCGAACCUGAGCCAUACACUAUUCUCACACAGCAAGCAGAUUGAUGUCAAAAAACUAAAUAAAGGGUGGCUUCCUGGAAGAAUGAUACUGGAGUUGAAUUUGAGAUGUUCCUUCUCUGUACCCCACAACACCCUGCACAGCUUCCCUCAUGCAUCGCUCCAUCAGUGUCUGCAUGAGUCAUGUCUUCCUUGGUGACCCUGCUUCCUGCAAACCCUGCAGCAGGUUGACAUUCUGGGACUGCUGCUCCUGGUGGUAAGCAUUGUUAAGCUUUCUGCUCUCCACCGUGCAUUGGGACUCCUCACCCGGAGGUGGUAACAGGAGUCACUUGUUUGACAGUGACCUUCGGCUCACAAAGUUGUUCAAAUGACCCUCUACAGUAGCAGAGAAAAUUGGACCCUCAGAUGGAUAGACAAUGAACUAAAUACUUCACACAGGUUGUGGAAAGAUCCUGGAGGAAAUGUCGUAGGGAAUGCUUCAGGGAAGGCAUUGCUCCAAAUCCCUACCAGGAUUCUCUUAGAAGUCACACUGAAAACUAGAGCACUAAGACUGCUAACUACAUUAAAUGGAAGAGAGCGGAGUUUCUGGCAUCAAAGCUGAAUUAAGAGACUUCAGUUUUAGAAUGACUUUUGGACUUCACCAGGUCCCCAUCCACCCAUGUUUUAACAAGACAUAGUUCAAAGCAGUCAGAGACAAUCUGAGCUAAUUGGUUGAUUCAGCAAGAAACCUGGGAAAAGGUGGUGCUGAGGUUGGAGGCAUCAGGCUGGCAGGGUUAGCAGAUGCUCUCCAGAAAGGGCCUUGGAGUGGAGGUGCACCCUGCCAGGCACCAUAUGUGUGACGGACAUGACGGAGAGUGCAGGAUGCCUGAACGAAGGUGACAGCCCAGCUCUCAUUCGCAGAAAAAGAAACUUCUCUUGGAGUAAACACGAGUGAAAAAAGGUCCAUAGAGUGGGCACAUUUUCAGGCUGGUGGCCACUUUGCAGAAUUUUCCCUGCUGUAAUCUUCUUCACUAAGGAGGAAAACCUAUACUAUUUUCCAUGAACAGGACACCUGUCCCAGUUGUCCGGCAAGGCUCUUCAAGACUGCAGAGGAAUGACAGAAUACAGAGAUGCAAUCACCAGGAACAUUUGGGAGCACACUGCCAGCACAUUCACAGGUAUUCCCUCCUUGAAUAUGUUGAAUUCUCACAUUAUCCCAGGUGAGACAGACAUGGAGUUCGUUGACAGUGGAGCUGGAAUUCAGACUCAUGGCUUCCUGACUCUAUAGCCAGUGUUGGUUUUAUUGCCUUCUUGGGUUUAAGCCAGAAGAACUUGGGAAAACAGAAUCACAAUAUAUUAUGUUGAAAAUUGCCAUUCCUUUCUAAUGGAACAGAUGUCAUUCCCUGAUAACAUUUGCUGGUCCCCAAAUAUCCCAAGUUUCCCCCUCCCCGCCCCUGCUGGGAACUUCUUCCCUGCCACUGCGUUGAAAACCUGCUGUUUGAGACUGCCCCACUUGAUUCUGUCUCCUAUACCAAGAGAAGAUUCUUAAAAAUCUAAAUGAUAUAUAGAUACAUAUUGUUUCAGUGCAGGUAGGCGGAUGGAGGUCAGAUACAUGUUUUUGAAGACUGAACUCGCCAAAAAAACUUCAACUCCUUAUUGGGUGUGACUUCCAAAUAGAAACCAUUAUUGUCUUAUUUAUACUCAACACAACCACAAAACAUUUGUAAAGCAUAAUUGAUUGUAGAUGGCAAGAGAGGUCUCAGAGGCAGGUUCUCUGACCCUAUGAGCUCACGAUCUUUACAUCUGAAGAAAUAGGCUUCUAUGGGAGGUUUCUCAGUCUUCUCAACAAGGAUGUUGAGUCAUUGCAGUCACUGCAGAUGAUUGGACAUCAGAAACACCUCCUGAGUCAUCAUUUCCAUUGCUCAACAUUGACUGUUGUCAUCAAAACCAUCUACCCAUUUAGGCUUGCAAGUUGCCGAGUAGACAAUUCUCACUUUAUUCACUUUAUUCCCCAGUAUACUUUUCAAGGUAACAGAACUAGUAGAUAUGACUGGAUGAGAUGAAUCUUAUUUAUUGACAUGAAAGGUUGGCAGUCAGAGCUCUGGCACCCACCAAUACUGCCCCCAACUCCGUCCCAAGCAGCCUGCAGCACCAGCUUCUCACCCAGCUUCCCUUGCCUUUGGGGUCAGUCUGAGUUAGCUCCAGGGUCAGUAUUAACUCUGCAUGGUCCUAGGAUCUGCAACACACAGAGAGAACUUAUCCUGGGAUUGGGACCAAACUGGAAUGUGUCUUCUUUAAUCUCAGCUGGAGGCUUCAGGAUGUCACUUAAUUAACACCCAGGCUAGAAUUUUCACUCUGGAUUUGCAACCUUGGGCCAAUCUGAACUGGAACAAUUCCCCAGAAUCUAGAUGAGAAGGUUAUGACCCUGGCUCUGUUUAGAGCAUGUUCUGGUCCUGGGAUAGAGCCUGAGCCCCACUCCCUGCCUUUAUUCAGGCUGUUCCUUUCUCUGGGAAUUUCUCCCCACCUCCACACUCACUUGCCCUAUUUUAUUUUGUUUUAUUUUAUUUUUUGAAAUGGAGUCUCACUCUGUCACCAGGCUAGAGUGCAGUGGUGUGAUCUUGGCUCACUGCAACCUCCACCUCCUGGGUUCAAGCAAUUCUCAUGCCUCAGUCUCCAGAGUAACUAGGACUACAGAUGCGCACCACCAUGCCUGGCUGAUUUUUGUAUUUUCAGUAGAGAUGGGGUUUUACCAUGUUGUCCAGGCUGGUCUUGAACUCCUGACCUCAGGUGAUCCGUCUGCCUCAGCUUCCCAAAUUGCUGGGAUACAGGCGUGAGCCACCACACCUGGCCACUGCUGAAUUUUUUAUUUGAGACCUAUCUUUUAAGAUCCAUGUUUAAUUCUAUCUCUUAUCCAGAAUCCUUCCCUGUCCCUUAGUUGCAAAUGUAAGCUUAUUUCUUUUUUUGAAUGACAUCCCUACCUGCUUCUGUAUCUUUUAUGACCCUUUCCUAUUGUGUUAGUUGUGUAAGUGGCCACAAAUUUAACAACUUAAUGGAACACAUAUUUAUUAUUAUCUCACAGUUCUGUAGGUCAGAAGUCUGCCCACGGUGUGGCUCAUUUGGGUUCUCUGCUUACGGUCUCACUGGGUGAAAGCCAAGGUAUCUACCAGGGCUACCCUUUUCACCUGGGGCUUAAGUCCUCUUCCAAGCUCACUAGUUGUUGGAAGAAUUCAUUUCCUUCUCACAGUAUCUAUAUGUUUCCCUCCAUCUUCAAGCCAUCAGUGAUGUUGAGUCUCUGUUGAGCUUCAAAUCUCUGUGAGGUCUCCCUUCUGGUGCAUCUCUCUGCCUCCCUUUCUUUUCCAUUCUCAUCAGGGGAAAAGCCCUCCUUUUAAGGGCUCAUGUACUAACAUUGGUAUGGCCAGGGUAAUCCAAGAUAAUCUCCCAACGCUAAGGUCCCUGAUUAGUGACAUCAAUUACAAUGGCAAAGUCCCUUUUGCCAUGCAACAUCACAUACUCAUAGGCAUAGCCCCAGAGGGUGAAGGGCAUAGGAAGCACAAUUCUGCCUAUCACACCUAUCGAGCAGCCUCUGAUAUGGCACUACCUCAGAGAAGGUGGCAGUGAACUGCUAUGGAAACAUUGGAUUUCCCUGAUUGGCUGUCCUAGAAAAUGUCAUUUAAAUUCUAUAAGGGUGUCCCUCAGAGGUUCCCAAAUGUCUGAAUGUGAUCCCAGAAGAUUUUAGAACUUCUUAAGUAUGAACUAAAGGAAUCUUUACAAAAGCAAAUAAGGCCUAGACUUGAGUACAGUUCAGCUUCUUAGUAGGCACAAGCUUUCAGGUUUGGGGUCUUCUAAUCUCUCCCUCACCCAGAAUUAUAAAGAUCAUGCAGGGUCACAUAGAUGAAAGCAUCUGAAAACACUAAAAUGCCACACGAAUAUAGAAAGAGUUUCCUAUUGAUGCUGUAAGAAAUUACUAUGAAUUUAGUGGCUUAACACAACACAUGUUUAUUCUCAUACAGUUCUAAAGGUCAGCAGGCUGAAAUCAGUCUUACUGAGCUAAAAUCAAGGUCUCAGCAAAGAUGCAUUCCUUUCUGGAGGCUGGAGGGGAGACUGUUUCUUUGCAUUCAUCAGCAUCUAGAAGUUGCCCGCAUUCCUUGGAUCAUGACCCUCUUCCCUUUCCAAAGCCGGCAAUGAUGGCAAAGUCUUUCCCACAUUGCAACGCUCUGACACUCACUCUUCUUCUGCCUCCUGCUUCCUUAUAAGGAUGCUGGCGAUGACAUUGGGCCCACCCAGAGAGAUGAUCCAGGAUAAUCUCCUGAUUUUAAGGUCAGCUGAUUAGCAAACUUAAUUCCAUUAGUAAACAUAAUUCCCCUUUCCCAUAUAACAUAGUCAUGGGUUCUGGGGAUUAGGACAUGGACAUCUCUCAGGGGCCAUUACCUAUCUACCUACCAUGAUGAUUAUGAGAACAAAUCAGCACUCAUCUUCUUUAAGAUUGAUGUGCCUAUCUGGCUCGGUGUUAGGGCUGGGACUACUUCUACAAGGUUUUAGAAGCUACUGAUAGUAACUUUUUGCUUUCUGGCUCCACUCCCAAACCCCUCUCCUGUGGGCAGGCCAAAGUGACAGCUGCUUUGCAGGUCUUCCACCCUGGGUGUUGCCAGUUUGUUUUCUUGGGGAUAGCCCUGUCACUGGGCCUCCAAGUUUCUCCGUAGCUGCUGGAGUCAUGCAAAAUGGGUACUUACCCUGCAACCUCUUCUCUGGGAGUCAGCUUCAGACUAUUUCCUGCUAUCUUGACCUGAUUCUCUUCAUUUCUCCAUGUAGUUUGCAUACAUAACCAGUUAGCGUAAGUUCUAUUUAAUAUCCUUGCCAACUUAUAGAGUGUAAAUCUUUUGGCUUCAUUCACUCAUUCACUAAAACAUCUAUUGAGUGUCUACUAUGUGCCACACUAGCACCUACAGUCAACAGUCACCAGCAAGACUCUCAUUAGACUAUCUCUUAAAAUGCACAGUUGAUUCUCAUUAUGUGUGGUAGUUACAUUUUAUAAAGUUAUUGUGAACACGAAAUUAGCAAAUACUUAACCUUUGCUCCUAGGAAAAAUACAGGGUUAGGUUCCUGCAAGCCUCUGGUCAUAACUUUUUUGUCAACUGAUCAAUGUACAACCUUGUUUUAUGUGUGUUUCUGUUUAAAGAUAACUUAUGUAAUAUAUAUUGCUGAUUCAUUAAACUGAUAGCUAAUAACUAUAACUCAUGCCUGAAGAAACCUUAUCUAACACACGUAUUUUCUCUGUAAGCCUCAUCUCAGCCUUCUUGGACUAACAAAACUAGGCAGCCCUUUAGCACUAUACUUGGGAGCCAUUUUCAAAAGCAAAAUCACCACAAAAUGUCUAAAAAUGUGGAAAAGGUGGCACUUGAUAGACUACAAAAAAGUUUACAAUAUAUAAGACCUGAAACAAGAAGGUAGACCAUCACUUUGACCUAAGCUAAGAAUGUGCACUCCAAUUUUUCACCACUCUGUAUAUGUCCUCAAAAUUACGUAACAGCACCAAGCAUAUUGACUUAAGGAUUACAAACACAUUUUAGCAAUCAGGGAAAUUCAUGCAUGUGGAAUUCACAAAUAAUGAGGAUUGGCUGUAUUUUAUUAAAAAGAUGGACUUGAACAAAUCAAUUUAGAGGCAAUAUUGUUACAGGUCUCCCCCAAAUGUAAUACUUUA
rnacentral:lncRNA from 1 species